UGGUGCGAUCAUACUAGCACUAAUGCAUCGGAUCCCCUCAGAACUUCAUAGUUAAGCGUGCUUGGGCGAGAGUAGUACCAGGAUGGGUGACCCCUUGGGAAGUCCUCGUGUUGCAUCCU